AUUGAACGCUGGCGGCAUGCCUUACACAUGCAAGUCGAACGGCAGCACGGGGCAACCUGGUGGCGAGUGGCGAACGGGUGAGUAAUGCAUCGGAACGUACCUUUCAGUGGGGGAUAACGUAGCGAAAGUUACGCUAAUACCGCAUAUUCUGUGAGCAGGAAAGCAGGGGAUCGCAAGAACUUGCGCUGAUGGAGCGGCCGAUGUCAGAUUAGCUAGUUGGUGAGGUAAAGGCUCACCAAGGCGACGAUCUGUAGCGGGUCUGAGAGGAUGAUCCGCCACACUGGAACUGAGACACGGUCCAGACUCCUACGGGAGGCAGCAGUGGGGAAUUUUGGACAAUGGGGGCAACCCUGAUCCAGCCAUGCCGCGUGAGUGAAGAAGGCCUUCGGGUUGUAAAGCUCUUUCGGCCGGGAAGAAAUCGCACGGGCUAAUACCCUGUGUGGAUGACGGUACCGGAAUAAGAAGCACCGGCUAACUACGUGCCAGCAGCCGCGGUAACAC
rnacentral:rRNA from 1 species